rnacentral:rRNA from 1 species
AUUGAACGCUGGCGGCGGGCCUAACACAUGCAAGUCGAACGCGUGGCGGACGGGUGAGUCAUGUCUGGGACCCUGCCUGAUGGAGGGGGAUAACUACUGGAAACGGUAGCUAAUCCCGCAUACCAUCAGAUGUGCCCAGAUGGGCUUAGCUUGUUGGUGGGGUAACGGCUCACCAAGGCGACGAUCCCUAGCUGGUCUGAGAGGAUGCCCAGCCACACUGGAACUGAGACACGGCCCAGACUCCUACGGGAGGCAGCAGUGGGGAAUAUGGCACAAGGGGCGAAAGCCUGAUGCAGCCAGGCCGCGUGUAUGAAGAAGGCCUUCGGGUUGUAAAGUACUUUCAGCGAGGAGGCGGUACCCGCAGAAGAAGCACCGGCUAACUCCGUGCCAGCAGCCGCGGUAAUAC